AUUGAACGCUGGCGGCAUGCUUUACACAUGCCAGUCAACCGCAGGGCCGGCUUUCGCCCUGCGGUGAGUUGCGCACCGGUGGGUUAUAUAACGGGACGUUGCCCGGAGUGGGGGACUGGCCGGCCAAAGGCGGACUAAAUCCGCAAACGGACCGUAGUUUGAAGCGGGGGGUUCUCGGGACCCCGGCUAUUUGGGUGGCCGAUGGCGGAUUAGCUAGGUGGUGGGGUAAAGGCCUACCAAGGCGACGAUCUGUAGCUGGUCUGAGAGGACGACCAGCCACACUGGGACUGAGACACGGCCCAGACUCCUACGGGAGGCAGUAGUGGGGAAUUUUGGACAAUGGGCGAAAGCCUGAUCCAGCAAUGCCGCGUGUGUGAUGAAGGCCUUCGGGUUGUAAAGCACUUUUGGCGGGAACGAAAAGGACUGUGCCAAUACCACGGUUCGAUGACGGUACCCGCAGAAUAAGCACCGGCUAACUACGUG
rnacentral:rRNA from 1 species